UACGGAGGGCGUAAGCGUGGUUCGGAGUCACUGGGCGUAAAGGGCGCGUAGGCGGUCAGGCAAGUCGGAUGAGAAAGCCCUGGGCUCAACCCGGGAAUUGCACCCGAAACUGCUUGGCUAGAGUCCCGGAGAGGAAGGCGGAAUUCCCAGUGUAGGGGUGAAAGCCGUAGAUGUUGGGAAGAAUACCAGAAGCGAAGGCGGCCUUCUGGACGGUGACUGACGCUGAGACGCCCAAGCGUGGGUAGCAAACAGG
rnacentral:rRNA from 1 species